rnacentral:rRNA from 1 species
UACAUGUGGGGCAAGCGUUGUUCGGAAUUACUGGGCAUAAAGGGCGCGUAGGUGGCUUGUUAAGUCAGGGGUGAAAGUUUUCGGCCCAACCGGAAAAUGGCCUUUGAUACUGGCGAGCUCGAGUGCGUGAGGGGUAACCGGAACGAGCAGUGUAGCGGUGAAAUGCGUAGAGAUGCGGAGGAACACCGAUGGCGAAGGCAGCCCCCUGGGCUAACACUGACGCUCAGGCGCGAAAGCGUGGGGAGCAAACAGG